rnacentral:rRNA from 1 species
GGGUGAUGGCCUACCAAGCGACGACGGGUAGCCGGCCUGAGAGGGCGACCGGCCACACUGGGACUGAGACACGGCCCAGACUCCUACGGGAGGCAGCAGUGGGGAAUAUAGCACAAUGGGCGGAAGCCUGAUGCAGCGACGCCGCGUGAGGGAUGACGGCCUUCGGGUUGUAAACCUCUUUCAGCAGGGACGAAGCGCAAGUGACGGUACCUGCAGAAGAAGCGCCGGCCAACUACGUGCCAGCAGCCGCGGUAAGACGUAGGGCGCGAGCGUUGUCCGGAUUUAUUGGGCGUAAAGAGCUCGUAGGCGGCUUGUCGCGUCGACUGUGAAAUCCCGCGGCUCAACUGCGGGUCUGCAGUCGAUACGGGCAGGCUAGAGUUCGGUAGGGGAGACUGGAAUUCCUGGUGUAGCGGUGAAAUGCGCAGAUAUCAGGAGGAACACCGGUGGCGAAGGCGGGUCUCUGGGCAGUAACUGACGCUGAGGAGCGAAAGCGUGGGGAGCGAACAGGAUUAGAUACCCUGGUAGUCCACGCCGUAAACGGUGGGUACU